CAACUAUCGGGACAAAUACGUUGGAGACGUCGGGAAGGAAGGACCACCUGAGUGUUGCUGAGCCAAAAUAGAAUGAUGUCAUUCAGCCUUCAAAUGCUGUUGGCGGUGUUUACACUUCUGACCCCAGUAGUAACAAUUGCUCCUACGACUGAUAUGGUGGGUAAAAUGGUGUUUUGGAACCUAGAACAGCACUUCCCCGGGUGUCACCUGGUGCUGAUCACAACACAACACUCACGCGUGUCCUCCAGUAUAAUCCGACACAUGGGUGUGGGUGUUGCGGCUGGCGUGGUAGUGGAGGCAGGGUGGGUGUUGUCUCAGGACCAGCUGACCCAGGACCACCUCCUGCAGGGGCUGUGGGAGGACACCAGAACCACCUGCCGGGCCCUCAUCCUUGACCUCACCACCAGUAACAAUACUAACCUCGUGCUCGGCUUGGUUGAAUCUUCAAACUUGUGGCAGAGAUCAUAAACGGUGGUAGCAGUGGUGGGUGGGAGGGCAGGAGUGAAGGACGUCCUCCUCCACCAUAGUCUCCGCAACACCGUUCACGGCCUCUACCUGGCCCUCCACGACCUCCCCCUUCACACCCCACCGCGCCACGGUAAUUCACUCCUCAGG